CUCCCUCCUGCCUGUGUGGACCCCAGUGCUCACUGUCUAAAUUUGGCUUGUGUUUGGUGUGUGUUUCACCAGGCGUCCCCUACAGCUCUGUGACGGGGAAGGGAAGCCUACUACUUGCCAGUCAGCAUGCCCAUGUCAGGCCAGUCAUGAAACCGCUUGAGGCCAUCCGCUGUACGCACCCCAACUGUUUGUGUGAAUGCUUCUCCCCUGGAAAGUCCUGUCUCCGCCACUGUGAAACAUGCAAGCAUGGUUGGGUCUCCCACGCUCUUGACAAACUCGGCUACGCACACUUAUUCAACCUCGGGAUGCAGGUGGAGGUUGUCCAACCCAACAUUGUUUUCGACAUCGCAAGUCUGAUGCUGUAUGGAGCUCAGGCUACACCUAUUCGACUGAAGAUUCUCCUGGACCGUCUGUUCAGUGUCCUCCAGCAUGACGAGGUGCUGCAAGUACUCAACGGCUUCGGCUGGACGUAUGAGGACUAUGCCAGGGGAUACAUUCUUCAGGUAGGACAGGACUCUAAUGGCCGUGUCCUAGACAAGUGGACAAUUGCAUCACGGGAGGAGGAACAUAUCAUUCUUCAGCAGUUUUUGCGGUUUGGAGAGACCAAGGCCAUUGCUCAGGAGAUCAUUCUACAGGACACCAAAGAGAAACAAGACCUGUACAUCAAGCAGACAACACGAGCAGAGUCGGAGAUCAAGAAAUUCAUUGAACGCAGUAAUCUGAGCACCACACAGGGCCUCAUUCGACCUUAUGAAGCGCGACCUCUGUUUGCUGGACGUCUUCCCCUCCUGCCUCCUGGCAGCCGCCUGUUGACUCCCCCUCUCCUGCAGGCCAGUUACUCCCCCACAAGAGAUAUUCGACCUCUGGGCAUGCCUACCUCAAAUGCAACUUCCACAUCCGUCUCCCCUCUUGGCCGACUUCAGACUAUGCAACCCUUUGAGUUCCGGCGAGAUCAGACAAGUCCAGACCCAAGUCCCAACUCGGUUGACAAACCAGCAGCAAGCUCCUCCCCAUCAAGUGACAGUCCGAAGAACCUUUGUUCGACGCCUACAUCUGUCCACUCAGCUCCCUCCCCAAUCAUGUCACAGAGGAAUCUUGACAGCAGUGAGAAUGCAGCUGUGCCUGGUGGCAUCUGUGUCAUGGACGAUGAUGAUCAGUCUCUAGGGGCCAUUGAUUACUCCACAAAGGAAGACCCAGCUUCACCAGACUAUGACAGUAAAGCCAAGCAUUUGAGAAAGUCAAACCACCCAAUCAAGCGUCAGUGGACACCUUCGGCUGGGUUUGGACAAACAUUCAUUGGGCCAAAUGGUAAGAAGCGUGUGCUGUGUACAGCUUGUAACAAGACAUUCUGUGACAAGGGUGCUUUGAAAAUUCACUACAGUGCAGUUCAUUUGAAGGAAAUGCAUAAAUGCACAGUUGAUGGCUGUAACAUGAUGUUCAGUUCUCGCAGAAGUCGCAAUCGUCACAGUGCGAAUCCCAACCCUAAGCUCCACAUGGCAACUAAGAGGAAAGACAUGAGUGACAGUCCUAGACCCUAUGAUGAUGCCAAGUCUGUCAGGAUGAUUAACAGCCCACCAACCAUGGUAGUUCCUCCAUCACUACUUCCUAGAGGGACACUGCCUGGAGUCGAUGCCCAAGGCUUGAUGAGAGCUGAUCCUGCCUUUUUUGUUGACAUGAACAAUCAGUUUGCUUAUAUACAUGCCCCAGAUAAAAGACCAAGACUUGACACAGAUGACACUUCAGAUGACAAUCACGAUGAACCAAAGGACCUCAGCAACCACAUUGUGGAGGAGGGUGAGCCACUAGAUGAGGAGAGCAAACAAGAGCUCAACGUGCAGAGAGGGGGGAGUCGCAGAAAGAGCAAUGCUCCAACAAGGUGUGCUCAAAAUGACGAGAUGUAUGUCAUGUCAGAUGAUAACUCAGAUGACAAAGAUCCUUCAAAUGGCAAAUCUCUCUCAGGCAGAGGUAGGAGAGUAUCCUGUAAGGAUGGCAAGUCUGAAUCUGAUCGUCAUCAUCAGGACUCAUGCAUCAAAUCAGAACCAAAGGAUGAGGUACAGCAAGAAGAUGGUGAAAAGAAUGAAGACAUGGGCUGUGGUAAUGGCAUCCACUGUGGACCUGAAGACAAACUACAGUCAGAUCAGGACCUCAAAGAGCAAAUCAGCAGAAAACGAAAUUCCAUCAAUUUCCCAAAGAUAGCAUCCCUUUUAACCAACUCUAGCCAUCAGAACAAUAACAACAAUAGUAGCAUUGCAUCUGAUGAUAGUUUCCAGAAUCACUCUGCUUCUAUCCAUGAAGCUAGCCCAUGCUCUUCCCCUUGUCGGUCUGAUCAAGACUCUGAAGAUUCAUGCAUUGAUUCAAACACAAAUGGCCACCUUAUUGAUGACUUGGAAAUUCCGAUUGACAAGACCAAUCCCAGAAAAUGCCUGACAUGUGGAAAGAUGUUCCAGAAUCAGUUUGGUGUGAAGAUCCACUACAGGAAUGCACACAUGAAGCUUGUACAUCCAUGCACAGUUGAUGGCUGCAGUGCUACAUUUCCAUCUAAGAGAAGCCGAGACCGUCACGCCUCUAACCUAGGCCUCCAUAAGAAGCUGCUGUCAUCAGAUGACCAUGAACAGGACGGAGAUUCCAGCACCAACAUGCAAAGUUUGAGAGAAAAUGUGCUGCAGUCCCUGUACGGCCCAGACUUCAUUGAGAAUGAGACUUGUGGGAGGAAUGGCCACCUGUCUCCAUCAGCUUCUGGAUCAGCUGGGUCUGACUGCAACUCUGAUGAUGAGCCAGAAGAAGAUGAGAUCCAUCUCAAUGGCCAUGCUGGCAGUGAUGACUCAUCUGAUGCAUCUGUCUCAUGCCAUCUCUGUGAGUCCAAGUUCAGGGACAACCUGGCUUUAAAGGAACAUUUUGAGAACAUACACCCGAAGGAAAUGUUUCAGUGCACCAUCAAUGGAUGUGAAAAGAUAUUUUCAACACGUAAAAGUCGGAAUCGACACAGUCAGAAUGAUGGCCUUCACCGCCAUCUGCCGAUGGGGAAGAAGAAUGGCGUGUCCUGACCCAUGUGUCAGAAGACUAGACUCUAGCAACCUCAGUGGUUCACCAUAUGGCCACUUCUAUAUAUGCAGCACUUCCGUCAGUAGAGUAUUCAGUGUCUUCGGAACCAAUGGCGUCUGUGUGAUGCAGUUCCACAUUUCUCUACAAUAGGAGAACAAUUCUCAUGCAAUACGGUCACUUGACCAUUUAGUUCUGUAUAUGCAUUUAGUUUGUAGUGUCAGUAGUUGUCUACUACAGACUUGGAACGUUCAUAAGCAAACUGUGGUAGCAGCACUAGUGUUUCUCUAGGGUUUUCCCAGAAGCAGUGCCUCUUGAACUCUAGCACAUGACUCCAGGAUGAUGGAGCAGAGAAAGCCUUAUGUCAUGUGAGUGAAGUCCUAGACUGUCACCAGGAACUAUGCCCUAGAAUAGGAGUGUAUUGUGCUGUGGACCUCAAAGACAAAGUGGGCUUUAACAUAGAGUGAAAGUCUGUAAUGUGAGUGAGUAGACUUUAGACUUUCUUCAUCUGUUGGAUGUAAGAACAAGCUGAGGCAACAUGUCUGUGAGGAGGACAGCGUGCUAGAACAGUCCUUACUUGGUACUAGCGAGGUCAGCAUCAUCACCUCAGAGACAAAGGGAUUGUGUAUUGAAGCAAUAGUUUGGUAUGGGCAUCUAGCUCACAUAAUAAGGUUCAUCUGGACCAGCUACAGUGCCCAUGUGUGCCAUAGUGGACCAUCAGUUUAUAUAUCCAUGACAGCCACUACUGCAAGGGUGGUCUGGGUGGGAGGCUGAAUCUUCAUCAGUAUUAUAGUUCCUGCAUAUAUUUGCAGAGAUGUGUGCCUGCAAUUCAGUAAAACAUUGCUAUGUCUGAUUAGAAUAGUUGAAACAUGCCCGUAUCACUUUCUGGAGAUACUGUCAACUUCCGUUGGAUAACCUUAGAUACAAUUCUGUAUGUUAGACCAUACAGUGUUUCUCACAUUGAUAUUGUGCAUGUACAAUUAACCCUAAAACUAUCAAAAGGCAACGUGCAACAGAAUCCCAAUAACAGCUAUAUCUGAAACGGCAGGUGUUUCUCUUCAGACUUAGCAACUGUUUUGCUGAUUGGUGCAGACUAGGGAGGAGACCCUUUUCAGAGGGACUCGGCAUAUCACUACCACAUGUGCAAUGGUCAACUAUUUAUUUAUUGAAUCUAUGCAUGUUUUAGCAAGUUAACACGUUAUAUACAUGUCAUUGUUCAUUUGCCAUCACUUACCCACAUCAUGAAUGUUGUUUUGUGCAUUUUAUACCAUGUUUGUAGAUGAUCUCAAGACGAGCAAGUUUACUGACAAAUGCUUUUUCAUCAUAUAUAAUCACUUCCAACCCCAGUUUUACAUGACAAAUAUGCACAUAUUGUAGCAUCAUACAUAUUAUGCAAUCAUAGCGGGAAAUGGCCGCCUUAUCAAUAGCAAUUGUUUUAGAUCUUUUGAUCAUUACACAUUAGAUAUAGUUUAUUCUCUUUCUUUGUAAUCUUUAGAAACUCUUGUCCUUCUAUAUUCAUCUCAGUGGUCUCAUAAAACACAGGUAACCUAUAUUUCUCCACCUUUCAACACAUAUUUAUUGCUCCUAUCUUCAAGAGUCUAUCACUUUAACUCUUUCUACAAGAUUCUCAACACACCUGAUGCCUGUUCUUAGUACAGAGUUGGGCCUGUUUCUCUUUCUUUGUCAUUUAAAGCAUAAUAUUUUCUUCUCACCAACUGAAAAACUUCAAAUUGAAUAUCUGUAUUUGUGAAUACCAGAAUUAUUUGGUGUUAUUUGAUGCUGUGAAAUCUGGUCAAGACAAAUGACAAUUGAGCAUUAGCAGUGGGGGGUUGUGCAGAUUAUGUUUGUGUAAGUGAUAGAACAAAUAGAGAUUAAUUAUUCCAUGUCCCAAACUUUGCGAUCACCUAGUUUGUGGUAUUCACAGUACUUUAUGCUUUAGGGCACAGAACUAGUCUCACUUGUUUGUUUUAUGGUGCUAUUACAAGAUUUAACAUUUGCAAUAUUUUUCAUACAUUUCAAACAUGAGUGGAUUUUUUUUCUCUAUAUUCCUAAGUUUUAGUUGGUUGUUUUUGUGAUGGUUAAAGGUAGCAAUUGUGUGCUCAAGUGAUUAUAUUGUCAUUGUUUUGCCAUUAUUUUAACAUACAUACACUCAGGAAUAUAUCAGAUUUAUUAACUAACUCGGUUUUAGUGUGUAGCAGUAGAUUUGCUGAAAUAUGUAUGGGGAUUCAUAAUAAUUUGCAUAAAUUAGCAUAUCAUUUCAUAAAUCCAUUUUAGCUGUGCAAUAUUGCAUUAUAAAUACAUCAUACCUCAGACAUGUGUGCAAUCAGCUGUGACAGUCCCAUGGAUAUUGAUAUAUAGAUCUUACACUUUGUUUGAUUGGGCUCAAAUCAAAACUUGUAUUUUUAGAUAUUUUUUUCAGUUUGAACAAUACCCAGUAUACACAGUUAGCCUUAGACAUGACUAAGACUAAGACUUCCAUGAUUGUAGAGUGGGUCCACAACUAAGGAAUUGUGCAUAAACUAAUUUGUGUGCCAUACAAUGUAGUCUGUUUGUCUGUUGGUCACAUGUUCCAAACACUGGAGAUUUGUUGGAGGGUUUUCAGUAUUUAUUUUUGUGUAAAAAUAUUAUUUGAUGUCAUUAUUUAUUUCUCAUUCGUUUGUAAAUUUUAAUGCCUUGAAAAACAAAAUAUUUAUAUUGUUGGUAUGGUAACAUUGGUUAGUGAUAUUUGUUUUAAGACAAGGUAGAAUAAAACAAUAAGAAAACAUUUCAAAAAGAUUUUGUUCUUGUUGUUUUACAUUCUGGACAUAAGAGUGAAAUGAUAUCUAUAUCAGUAGUACUAGGCAGGCUUACAUGUUGAAUUAUAAACAUUUUCCACCAUUGUGUUUUGAUGUGUUUUCAUUAUGUUGAGAAGAAAGUCGGUUAAUUAAUAUAUAAGGUAGAGUUUUAUAGUUUCUGAGAUUCAUUGUAUGGUUGUGCUAAUUUCAGAUAGAUAUUGUGUUUUAUGUUGAAAAAAAACACUACAGAUGUUUUGUCAGUUAUUAUUUAUUUGCAUGUAAAUGAUGUAUGUGCCCAUUCACAGUAUGCCAAAACAAAGGGUUUUCUGUACGAAUCAGCUUAGAAUCUAUGCACAUUCUUUACAUUUUGUUUGGUAAUAAUGAUCCAUUGAACUAUUAUCACGAUGACUGUAUGAACAUUAUUACAAUAUGGUAAUGUAUAUGAAAUGUAACCUUUAUCUGUUGUGCAUUUAUUAGGGCUGAUGAUCUGCCAAAAUAACUAGUUUAAAAAAUGUUGAUUAAACCAAUAUUGAUACUUAUUGGUGGCUUUUUAUGAAGACUAUGUUAAGUAUUACCUUUUAGCAAAUUGCCAAGACAUUGUUUUGCCAGAUCAUCCUUGGAUCAAAAACACAUGGGAAAUAAAUAUUGCAAUGUUCGUGCACUGAUGCUGCAGUUCCUACAGACAGGUUCCCGUCCUGCAUGUCAAGGCUUCUUUUGUCAUUGUAAGAAGUCAUGGCUUGAAGCUUAGAAUAAGGCAUCCACUUAAAGAAGGAAAAGAGGACAUUAGGUUAUACAGAUAUUCAAGGUUAAGCACUGUCCUAAAGUAAUCAAAUCAAAAUGGCUGAAUGGUUAAUGCAAUUUGUGAAAUAUUACCUUAUAAUUCAAGAGGGUUGAAGGGUCGAGAUGGAUGUAGGGGCACUAUUCGAGAUGGGUGUAGGGGCACUGUUCGAGAUGGGUGUAGGGGCACUAUUUGAGAUGGGUGUAUGGGCACUGUUUGAGAUGGUUGUAGGGGGCACUGUUCGAGAUGGGUGUAGGGGGCACUAAUCAAGAUGGGUGUAGGUGUACUGUUCGAGAUGGGUGUAGGGGCACUGUUCGAGAUGGGUGUAGGGGCACUGUUCGAGAUGGGUGUAGGGGCACUGUUCGAGAUGGGUGUAGGUGUACUGUUCGAGAUGGGUGUAGGGGCACUGUUUGAGAUGGUUGUAGGGGGCACUGUUUGAGAUGGGUGUAGGGGGCACUGUUCAAGAUGGUUGUAGGGGGCACAGUUUGAGAUGGUUGUAGGGGGCACAGUUUGAGAUGGUUGUAGGGGGCACUGUUCGAGAUGGGUGUAGGGGCACUGUUCGAGAUGGGUGUAGGGGCACUGUUCGAGAUGGGUGUAGGGGGCACUAAUUAAGAUGGGUGUAGGUGUACUGUUCAAGAUGGGUGUAGGUGUACUGUUCGAGAUGGGUGUAGGGGCACUGUUCGAGAUGGGUGUAGGGGCACUGUUCGAGAUGGGUGUAGGUGUUCUGUUCGAGAUGGGUGUAGGUGUACUGUUCGAGAUGGGUGUAGGGGCACUGUUCGAGAUUGGUGUAGGGGCACUGUUUGAGAUGGGUGUAGGUGUACUGUUCGAGAUGGGUGUAGGUGUACUGUUUGAGAUGGGUGUAGGGGGCACUAAUUAAGAUGGGUGUAGGUAUACUGUUCGAGAUGGGUGUAGGGGCACUGUUCGAGAUGGGUGUAGGGGGCACUGUUCGAGAUGGGUGUAGGGGGCACUGUUCGAGAUGGGUGUAGGUGUAUUGUUCGAGAUGGGUGUAGGGGGCACUGUUCAAGAUGGAUGUAGGGGCACAGUUCGAGAUGGGUGUAGGUGUACUGUUCGAGAUGGGUGUAGGUGUACUGUUCGAGAUGGGUGUAGGUGUACUGUUCGAGAUGGGUGUAGGGGGCACUGUUCGAGAUUGGUGUAGGGGGCACUGUUCGAGAUGGGUGUAGGGGGCACUGUUCAAGAUGGGUGAAGGUGUACUGUUUGAGAUGGGUGUAGGGGGCACUGUUCAAGAUGGGUGUAGGGGGCACUGUUCGAGAUGGGUGUAGGGGCACUGUUCGAGAUGGGUGUAGGGGGCACUGUUCGAGAUGGGUGUAGGGGCACUGUUCAAGAUGGGUGUAGGGGCACUGUUCAAGAUGGGUGUAGGGGCACAGUUCAAGAUGGGUGUAGAGGCACAGUUCGAGAUGGGUGUAGGGGGCACUGUUCAAGAUGGGUGUAGGGGGCACUGUUCAAGAUGGAUGUAGGGGGCACUGUUCGAGAUGCGUGUAGGGGGCACUAAUCAAGAUGGGUGUAGGUGUACUGUUCAAGAUGGGUGUAGGGGCACUGUUCAAGAUGGGUGUAGGGGCACAGUUCGAGAUGGGUGUAGGUGUACUGUUCAAGAUGGGUGUAGGGGCACAGUUCGAGAUGGGUGUAGGUGUACUGUUCAAGAUGGGUGUAGGGGCACAGUUCGAGAUGGAUGUAGGGGCACUGUUCAAGAUGGGUGUAGGGGCACUGUUCAAGAUGGGUGUAGGGGCACUGUUCAAGAUGGGUGUAGGGGCACUGUUCAAGAUGGGUGUAGGGGCACAGUUCGAGAUGGGUGUAGGUGUACUGUUCAAGAUGGGUGUAGGGGGCACUAAACAAGAUGGAUGUAGGGGCACAGUUCGAGAUGGGUGUAGGGGCACUGUUAGAGAUGGGUGUAGGGGGCACUUUUUCGAGAUGGGUGUAGGGGGCACUAAUCAAGAUGGGUGUAGAGGCACUGUUCGAGAUGGGUGUAGGGGGCACUAAACAAGAUGGAUGUAGGGGCACAGUUCGAGAUGGGUGUAGGGGCACUGUUAGAGAUGGGUGUAGGGGGCACUUUUUCGAGAUGGGUGUAGGGGGCACUAAUCAAGAUGGGUGUAGAGGCACUGUUCGAGAUGGAUGUAGGUGGCACGGUUCGAGAUGGAUGUAGGGGGCACUGUUCGAGAUGGCAGUAUAUAUUUCCUGUAUGUUGUUGAGUGUAUCUUUGUUGAGUUAUAGUAACUCUGUGUCAUUGUUACUUGAUUGCUUCCACCCGGAAUUUGCCAAACUCAGAUUUGUUUACCCCUGUGAUAACACUUUUGUUGAGAGCAUGCUUGAGUGAUAUGGAACUGUCAGUGCCAUCAAACAAAGGAAGCCAGAUCAAGGAAGUCUACUGUUUAUAAUGGCAUUAAACUUUGUAAACAUUAACAACUCCAAAAGGUUCAACAUUGGACACCAACAGUUAUGUAUUACAUCUGUGAAUGUUAACAUGUCUACAGUAUUACACUGAUAUCACUUGAUCUGUGCAUGUUGCUCCAUAGAGCCAGAAACAGCUCAUUAUUGAUAAACUGUGAACUUUGGCCACACUUUGAGAAUCAAGCAUCAAGCUUAAGAGGAGGGAGGUUGGACAGGGCAAGUUUAGUUCCUACAUAUAGAUUCAUCCAAACAUUGACUUUCAUAGUUUAGUGUAUUCCAAGUUAAGAACUGUAUGUUAUUAUAGAUGAAAUCAUUAUAACUGGGUCCAUUUUGUAGACAGGAACAUGUAGUCCUUCAUAUAUGUAUAAAGGAGAUUCAUUACUAGAUAACAUACAUCUAAGAUAUUGAACUCAAUUCAAGAUUAGGUGUAUCACUCAAAGUUGGGAAAGUAAAUGAUGAUGAAAGUGAAAUUAUUUCUCCAAAAGCAACAUGCAGACUAGAGCUUUCAUACAGGCUUGUAUUUUUUGGUGUGUGUUUUUAGUUUUUUGGGAAUACAAGAAACGGAAACCUUGACAUUGACAACAGUUUAUUUGGGCUCAUAUUUUCAGCUAUAAAACUGAUAUUCCUAAUUUUGGAUUAUCUUGAACCAUAAUUUAGGUAUGGUAGAACAUUCCAGUGUGGGAUAGUAUUUUAGUGUGACAUCCACCCCAUACCUGGGUUGUCUCCCCCUUGUCCCAGCCUGUCCCCCCAGUCCAACUUGCCAACUUCUCCUUUAUACACAGGUUACUGUUGUGCUGUAUUCCAACUAACUUGUGUGGCCGCUACCAUAGUCCUCACGUUCACCUACUAAUUUGCUUGAAAUUUUGUAACAAACACAAUUUUGGGCUGUUAAAUUUGAGACCAUGCAUUGUGGAUUGGUGGCCAUGGGCCAAGGUGUUUGUGGCCACAUGGCGGUCUCUUUGUGAUGGCUACAAUGGUUCGUUUCCAUGCUAGUGUAUGACAUCUUAGCAAGUCAAGGUAGAGUCUUGUUAGGUGUUUAAAGUGUAAUCAAAAUAACAUGCAUGGCGAUCUAGUUGUGUACCUCUGUUUUAUUGUAUGACAAGAAGACAUACAUACAGUCAAAAUUUAAAUUUGCAGCAUUUGGGUGUAUCAUCAUAACUAUAUUUGACCAAUAUGUAAAUUAAUCAAAAGUAAGAAGUCAAGGACAAAGCUUUAUUUGGACAUUCAAGUGACAUAUGGAUCGUCAUGCAAUGAACUGACUUAUGUAGUUCUUAGUAUUAUUUUGUACACGAUUUGGAAAAAACACAAAAAUAAGUUGAAUUCUGCAUGGCUCAAUUUAGCUAGAAUUGUUUUUGUCACAUUGCCACGUAGUUCUGAGCUGUACAACGUUUACUUGUGUAUUUAUUGUUGAGGCGAAGAUAUUUAUAUGAGUAAUUUGACUGGUUUUAUCUGGUCAGGUUAGAAAUAAACGUUUACACGAAAAUA
rnacentral:misc_RNA from 1 species